GACGAACGCUGGCGGCGUGCUUAACACAUGCAAGUCGAACGGAAAGGCCCUGCUUUUGUGGGGUGCUCGAGUGGCGAACGGGUGAGUAACACGUGAGUAACCUGCCCUUGACUUUGGGAUAACUUCAGGAAACUGGGGCUAAUACCGGAUAGGAGCUCCUGCUGCAUGGUGGGGGUUGGAAAGUUUCGGCGGUUGGGGAUGGACUCGCGGCUUAUCAGCUUGUUGGUGGGGUAGUGGCUUACCAAGGCUUUGACGGGUAGCCGGCCUGAGAGGGUGACCGGCCACAUUGGGACUGAGAUACGGCCCAGACUCCUACGGGAGGCAGCAGUGGGGAAUAUUGCACAAUGGGCGGAAGCAUGAUGCAGCAACGCCGGGUGCGGGAUGACGGCCUUCGGGUUGUAAACCGCUUUCGCCUGUGACGAAGCGUGAGUGACGGUAAUGGGUAAAGAAGCACCGGCUAACUACGUG
rnacentral:rRNA from 1 species